CGUAGGCAGCAAGCGUUGUUCGGAAUUACUGGGCGUAAAGAGUGUGUAGGCGGUGCUCUAAGUUUGGUGUGAAAUCUCCCGGGCUCAACCGGGAGGCUGCAUCGAAUACUGGAAUGCUAGAGGGUGGGAGAGGUAAGCGGAAUUCCUGGUGUAGCGGUGAAAUGCGUAGAUAUCAGGAGGAACACCUGUGGUGUAGACAGCUUACUGGACCACUUCUGACGCUGAGACACGAAAGCGUGGGUAGCAAACAGGAUUAGAUACCCUGGUAGUCCACGCCCUAAACGAUGCAUACUUGGUGUGGGCCAUUCAUUUGGUCUGUGCCGGAGCUAACGCGUUAAGUAUGCCGCCUGGGGAGUACGGUCGCAAGGCUG
rnacentral:rRNA from 1 species